UGGUUCCGGCAUCGAUGAAGAACGCAGCGAAAUGCGAUAAGUAAUGUGAAUUGCAGAAUCCAGUGAACCAUCGAAUCUUUGAACGCACAUUGCGCCCCCCGGCAUUCCGGAGGGCAUGCCCGUCCGAGCGUCAUUGCACCCCGUCGAGCCGUUUCGGUUCGGGUUUGGGCCGCGUCCUCCGGGUGACCCCCUGGGACGGGCCCCAAAAGCAGUGGCGGCCCGCGGGCGACCUCCAGCGCGAUGGUUUUACGCUCCACGCUGGGCACGAGUCGUCCCGGGUCGGCGCCAGGCAACCCCGGUGAUGACCACAGGUUGACCUCGGAUCGGGCAGGGAUACCCGCUGA
rnacentral:misc_RNA from 1 species